rnacentral:tRNA from 3 species
GGAGUGGUGCCCGAGAGGCCGAAGGGAGCAGUUUGCUAAACUGUCGUACGGGUUUCCGUACCGAGGGUUCGAAUCCCUCCCACUCCG